ACGAUUGCGUUAUGUGAAAGCGUUUGGUUGAAUUGUUUCUGCUUCUAGCUUGAGGUCUAUUUAAGCUUAUGUUUUGGUCGUGUUUAAUGGUCUUAGUUUUGAUUAUUUUUUCUUCUAACCUUUCCGCAAUUUCAUAUUGGGUGGUGAGAAAAUCUUUCAUUUGUUGCCACGUUGGGCACUUUUUUCGUGAUGAGAGCGAUUGCUCCCAUAGAAGUAACGACUUUUCUGCUAAUGCGGCGGUGCAAAUGUUUACGAGAAUAGGAUUCCAGCUGUCUGUGGGGAUAUAAGGUGUCGAUAGAACCGACAAACAAUUAGUAACAGUGGAUUCUAGUUUAAUGAAUUCUACACUUGUUUCUUUCUUAAUUUUAGGCAAGUUUAAUAGUGUCGUUACAUGCUUAUCGACCAGUAUUCGUUCUAAACAAUCCGUCUGCACAACAAGGGCUCUUUUCUUCUGAAAUCAUUUUAGGAACUUUUAGUGACUGUAUUGCUUUAGAUUCUUUUGAAUCUGAGCUCAUUUAGAAAAUACCCGUUACGAAAUUGCGGGAAGGGUUGAUAAAAAAAUGGUCAGAACUAAAAACGUUCAACACGACCUAAAUCGAAGCUUCAUUAGACCCCAAGCAAGUAAUAACAACAACUUAAAUCGUAGUUUUUUGUGCCCUCCAAUUUCACCUCACUUUACUUGUUUUUAGCUCACUUCACCAUGUACAUAUACAUAUGUGCUUGUGUGCUAUUUUCCGCAGUUUUUCGCUUUAAUUAUUGCGAUGUGUAAGAUUUUACAUAUGUAUAUGUUUCUUCACUUCACUUUUAUGAUUUUGUCACCGCUUUUUUUUUUGUUUUAAUUUGGUAAUGUACGAGAUUUUAUGUACAUACUCAUACGCAUAUCGGAGGAUGGAGUCAUGUGUAGAAGUUCACGCAAGUGAGGAAAGUUCUCUGAUCGCCAUUCACUUGGGAGUGGCCAGAAACGAUUCUUUUACAUAUGACUCAAGCAGCUCACGACUUCCGGUCUUUGACCAAGUAUCCUCUGGGUAGCCUAAGAACAUCCGUUUGAAGGCGAGCUAACGUGAGAAGGCGAAAAAUCCCCUGCAUAGGGUUGUGCGCUGGGUUUGGGACCCGCCACGUAAAAAACACCCCCCAAUGAAAAGAAAAAAAAACAGCCUCGGACGAGAGACCCCCCUUUUGAUGACGACCACGGCAAACGAAAUAAGGACUAUGAUUUGAGGGCAUGCACCUGGAAUGUCCGGUCCCUUAAUUGGGAAGGUGCCGCUGCCCAGCUGGUAGAUGUCCUCGUAAAGAUAAAGGCUGACAUCACCGCCGUCCAAGAAAUGCGAUGGACGGGACAAGGACAGAGACGAGUAGGUCCUUGUGACAUUUACUACAGUGGCCAUAUAAAGGAGCGCAAGUUUGGUGUUGGAUUCGUGGUGGGAGAGAGACUCCGUCGCCGAGUACUAUCAUUCACUCCGGAGAAUGAACGUCUAGCCACAAUCCGCAUCAAAGCGAGGUUCUUCAACAUAUCGCUGAUUUGCGCCCACGCCCCGACGGAAGAGAAGGACGAUGUGACCAAAGAUGCUUUUUAUGAGUGCUUGGAGCGCACUUAUGAGAGAUGCCCCCGCCACGAUGUCAAAAUCGUGCUUGGCGACUUCAACGCCAGGGUGGGCAAAGAAGGUAUCUUUGGCACUACGGUCGGUAAAUUCAGCCUCCACGAGGAAACAUCCCCAAAUGGGUUGAGGCUGAUCGACUUCGCCG